rnacentral:rRNA from 1 species
UACGUAGGUGGCGAGCGUUGUCCGGAUUUACUGGGCGUAAAGAGCGCGCAGGCGGUCGUUCAAGUCGCGUGUGAAAGCCCCCGGCUCAACUGGGGAGGGUCACGCGAUACUGAUCGACUCGAAGGCAGGAGAGGGAAGUGGAAUCCCGGUGUAGUGGUGAAAUGCGUAGAUAUCGGGAGGAACACCAGUGGCGAAGGCGACUUCCUGGCCUGUUCUUGACGCUGAGGCGCGAAAGCUAGGGGAGCAAACGGG